rnacentral:rRNA from 1 species
GACGAACGCUGGCGGCGUGCUUAACACAUGCAAGUCGAACGAAGAGCGAUGGAAGCUUGCUUCUAUCAAUCUUAGUGGCGAACGGGUGAGUAACGCGUAAUCAACCUGCCCUUCAGAGGGGGACAACAGUUGGAAACGACUGCUAAUACCGCAUACGAUCUGACCUCGGCAUCGAGGUUAGAUGAAAGGUGGCCUCUAUUUAUAAGCUAUCACUGAAGGAGGGGAUUGCGUCUGAUUAGCUAGUUGGAGGGGUAACGGCCCACCAAGGCGAUGAUCAGUAGCCGGUCUGAGAGGAUGAACGGCCACAUUGGGACUGAGACACGGCCCAGACUCCUACGGGAGGCAGCAGUGGGGAAUCUUCCGCAAUGGACGAAAGUCUGACGGAGCAACGCCGCGUGAGUGAUGACGGCCUUCGGGUUGUAAAGCUCUGUUAAUCGGGACGAAAGGCCUUCUUGCGAAUAGUUAGAAGGAUUGACGGUACCGGAAUAGAAAGCCACGGCUAACUACGUG